rnacentral:rRNA from 1 species
AACGAACGCUGGCGGCAGGCCUAACACAUGCAAGUCGAACGAGAAGCCACCUUCGGGUGGUGGACAGUGGCAGACGGGUGAGUAACGCGUGGGAACGUGCCUUUCGGUUCGGAAUAACCCAGGGAAACUUGGGCUAAUACCGGAUACGCCCUUCGGGGGAAAGAUUCAUCGCCGAAAGAUCGGCCCGCGUCGGAUUAGCUAGUUGGUGGGGUAAUGGCUCACCAAGGCGACGUUCCGUAGCUGGGAUGAGAGGAGGACCAGCCACACUGGGACGGAGACACGGCCCAGACUCCUACGGGAGGCAGCAGUGGUGAAUAUUGGACAAUGGGCGAAAGCCUGAUCCAGCCAUGCCGCGUGGGUGAAGAAGGCCUUAGGGUUGUAAACCCCUUUCAGCGGGGAAGAUAAUGACGGUACCCGCAGAAGAAGUCCCGGCUAACUCCGUGCCAGCCGCCGCCGUAAGAC